UACAGAGGGUGCGAGCGUUAAUCGGAAUUACUGGGCGUAAAGCGUGCGCAGGCGGCUUCUCAAGUCAGGGGUGAAAGCCCAGAGCUCAACUCUGGAAUUGCCUUUGAGACUGAGUGGCUUGAGUACGAGAGAGGUGAGUGGAAUUCCCAGUGUAGAGGUGAAAUUCGUAGAUAUUGGGAAGAACACCGGUGGCGAAGGCGGCUCACUGGCUCGUAACUGACGCUCAUGCACGACAGCGUGGGGAUCAAACAGG
rnacentral:rRNA from 1 species